UACGAAGGGUGCAAACGUUGCUCGGAAUUAUUGGGCGUAAAGCGCACGUAGGCGGCUUUGCAAGUCCCAUGUGAAAUCCCACGGCUCAACCGUGGAAGUGCAUGGGAAACUGCAGAGCUUGAGUACUUAAGAGGAUCGCGGAAUUCCCGGUGUAGAGGUGAAAUUCGUAGAUAUCGGGAGGAACACCGGUGGCGAAGGCGGCUCACUGGCUCGUUUCUGACGCUCAGGCGCGAUAGCGUGGGGAUCAAACAGG
rnacentral:rRNA from 1 species